rnacentral:rRNA from 1 species
ACGGGUGAGUAACGCGUGGGAACGUACCUUUUGGUUCGGAACAACACAGGGAAACUUGUGCUAAUACCGGAUAAGCCCUUACGGGGAAAGAUUUAUCGCCGAAAGAUCGGCCCGCGUCUGAUUAGCUAGUUGGUGAGGUAAUGGCUCACCAAGGCGACGAUCAGUAGCUGGUCUGAGAGGAUGAUCAGCCACAUUGGGACUGAGACACGGCCCAAACUCCUACGGGAGGCAGCAGUGGGGAAUAUUGGACAAUGGGGGCAACCCUGAUCCAGCCAUGCCGCGUGAGUGAUGAAGGCCCUAGGGUUGUAAAGCUCUUUUGUGCGGGAAGAUAAUGACGGUACCGCAAGAAUAAGCUCCGGCUAACUUCGUGCCAGCAGCCGCGGUAAUACGAAGGGGGCUAGCGUUGCUCGGAAUCACUGGGCGUAAAGGGUGCGUAGGCGGGUCUUUAAGUCAGGGGUGAAAUCCUGGAGCUCAACUCCAGAACUGCCUUUGAUACUGAAGAUCUUGAGUUCGGGAGAGGUGAGUGGAACUGCGAGUGUAGAGGUGAAAUUCGUAGA